rnacentral:misc_RNA from 1 species
GAUGAAGAUCGCAGCGAAAUGCGAUAAGUAAUGUGAAUUGCAGAAUUCAGUGAAUCAUCGAAUCUUUGAACGCAUCUUGCGCUCCUUGGUAUUCUGAGGAGCAUGCCUGUUUGAGUGUCAUUAAAUUCUCAACUACACUGACUUUGAAUUGGUGUGGCUUGGAUUUGGGGGGAAAAUUGUUGUGGGCUUUUUGUAUAGUCUGCUCCCCUGAAAUUGAUUAGCGGUACCUUUGUGGAACUGUCUACAGGUGUGAUAAUUAUCUACAUCUUAGACAUCUGCUGGAAUGCUGCUUUCUAAACCUUACUUGUAUUGACAAUCUUGACCUCAAAUCAGGUAGGACUACCCGCUGAACUUAAGCAUAUCAAUAAGCGGAGGA